rnacentral:rRNA from 1 species
ACCGGAUAGGACGAAAGUUUAAAGGUGCUUCGGCACCACUGAUGGAUGAGCCUGCGGCGCAUUAGCUAGUUGGUAGGGUAAAGGCCUACCAAGGCGACGAUGCGUAGCCGACCUGAGAGGGUGAACGGCCACACUGGGACUGAGACACGGCCCAGACUCCUACGGGAGGCAGCAGUAGGGAAUCUUCGGCAAUGGGCGAAAGCCUGACCGAGCAACGCCGCGUGAAUGAUGAAGGCCUUCGGGUUGUAAAAUUCUGUUAUAAGGGAAGAAUGGCUCUAGUAGGAAAUGGCUAGAGUGUGACGGUACCUUAUGAGAAAGCCACGGCUAACUACGUGCCAGCAGCCGCGGUAAUACGUAGGUGGCGAGCGUUAUCCGGAAUUAUUGGGCGUAAAGAGCGCGCAGGUGGUUGAUUAAGUCUGAUGUGAAAGCCCACGGCUUAACCGUGGAGGGUCAUUGGAAACUGGUCAACUUGAGUGCAGAAGAGGGAAGUGGAAUUCCAUGUGUAGCGGUGAAAUG